UUCUAAGGGCGUUGAAGCAUGAUCGCAAGGACAUGUGGAGCGCUUAGAAGUGAGAAUGCCGGUGUGAGUAGCGAAAGACGGGUGAGAAUCCCGUCCACCGAUUGACUAAGGUUUCCAGAGGAAGGCUCGUCCGCUCUGGGUUAGUCGGGUCCUAAGCUGAGGCCGACAGGCGUAGGCGAUGGAUAACAGGUUGAUAUUCCUGUACCACCAUUAUUCGUUUUAAGCGAUGGGGGGACGCAGUAGGAUAGGCGAAGCGUGCUGUUGGAGUGCACGUCCAAGCAGUGAGAUUGAGUGUUAGGCAAAUCCGGCACUCUUAAGAUUGAGCUGUGAUGGGGAGAGGAACUUGUUCCUCGAGUCGUUGAUUUCACACUGCCGAGAAAAGCCUCUAGCUAGAAUAACGGUGCCCGUACCGCAAACCGACACAGGUAGUCAAGAUGAGAAUUCUAAGGUGAGCGAGCGAACUCUCGUUAAGGAACUCGGCAAAAUGACCCCGUAACUUCGGGAGAAGGGGUGCUCUUUGAGGUUCACGCUUCGAAGAGCCGCAGUGAAUAGGCCCAAGCGACUGUUUAUCAAAAACACAGGUCUCUGCUAAACCGUAAGGUGACGUAUAGGGGCUGACGCCUGCCCGGUGCUGGAAGGUUAAGAGGAGUGGUUAGCGCAAGCGAAGCUACGAAUCGAAGCCCCAGUAAACGGCGGCCGUAACUAUAACGGUCCUAAGGUAGCGAAAUUCCUUGUCGGGUAAGUUCCGACCCGCACGAAAGGCGUAACGAUUUGGGCACUGUCUCAACGAGAGACUCGGUGAAAUCAUAGUACCGGUGAAGAUGCCGGUUACCCGCGACAGGACGGAAAGACCCCGUGGAGCUUUACUGUAGCCUGAUAUUGAAAUUCGGUACAGUUUGUACAGGAUAGGUAGGAGCCUUAGAAGCGUGAGCGCUAGCUUACGUGGAGGCAUUGGUGGGAUACUACCCUAAUUGUAUUGGAUUUCUAACCCGCAGCACUUAUCGUGCUGGGAGACAGUGUCAGGCGGGCAGUUUGACUGGGGCGGUCGCCUCCUAAAGAGUAACGGAGGCGCUCAAAGGUUCCCUCAGAAUGGUUGGAAAUCAUUCAUAGAGUGUAAAGGCAUAAGGGAGCUUGACUGCGAGACCUACAAGUCGAGCAGGGUCGAAAGACGGACUUAGUGAUCCGGUGGUUCCGCAUGGAAGGGCCAUCGCUCAACGGAUAAAAGCUACCCCGGGGAUAACAGGCUUAUCUCCCCCAAGAGUUCACAUCGACGGGGAGGUUUGGCACCUCGAUGUCGGCUCAUCGCAUCCUGGGGCUGUAGUCGGUCCCAAGGGUUGGGCUGUUCGCCCAUUAAAGCGGUACGCGAGCUGGGUUCAGAACGUCGUGAGACAGUUCGGUCCCUAUCCGUCGUGGGCGUAGGAAAUUUGAGAGGAGCUGUCCUUAGUACGAGAGGACCGGGAUGGACAUACCUCUGGUGUACCAGUUGUCGUGCCAACGGCAUAGCUGGGUAGCUAUGUAUGGACGGGAUAAGUGCUGAAAGCAUCUAAGCAUGAAGCCCCCCUCGAGAUGAGAUUUCCCAACUUC
rnacentral:rRNA from 1 species